rnacentral:rRNA from 1 species
GGCGGACGGGUUAGUAACGCGUGGGAACGUGCCCUUCUCUGCGGAAUAGCCACUGGAAACGGUGAGUAAUACCGCAUACGCCCUUCGGGGGAAAGAUUUAUCGGAGAAGGAUCGGCCCGCGUUAGAUUAUAUAGUUGGUGGGGUAACGGCCUACCAAGUCUACGAUCUAUAGCUGGUUUUAGAGGAUGAUCACCAACACUGGGACUGAGACACGGCCCAGACUCCUACGGGAGGCAGCAGUGGGGAAUCUUAGACAAUGGGCGCAAGCCUGAUCUAGCCAUGCCGCGUGUGUGAUGAAGGUCUUAGGAUCGUAAAGCACUUUCGCCAGGGAUGAUAAUGACAGUACCUGGUAAAGAAACCCCGGCUAACUCCGUGCCAGCAGCCGCGGUAAUACGGAGGGGGUUAGCGUUGUUCGGAAUUACUGGGCGUAAAGCGCGCGUAGGCGGAUUG